AUCUAGAGAUCUGAACAGCAUCAUGAAAAUUCCAAUCAUUUUAUUGAUUUGUGUUGCCCUUCGUAGGCCGCCGGGGAUAUUUAACCUAAUUUAAAAAAAUAAAUAAAUAAAUGGUUCACAUCUGAGGAAAAUA